rnacentral:rRNA from 1 species
GCCUACGGCCGUACCACCCUGAGAAUGCCUGAUCUCGUCUGAUCUCGGAAGCUAAGCAGGGUUGGGCCUGGUUAGUACUUGGAUGGGAGACCGCCUGGGAAUACCAGGUGCUGUAAGCU